UCCUGGAGGACGGGGUAACACCCCAGUGCGUGGUAUCCUCAGGGCCCAGUACACCCCGAUUCUGUGGGGAGGCUGAGCAGAGCCUCUCCCUCUUACCCCUGCCAGCGCCGCUCCACUUCUGGUGAUGACAAGGUCAAGCACCCGCGACGUGGGGAGGUCAGAGCGAUACAUUGCUGCGGAUGUCGGCGGGCAGGCCCUGAAUGAUGUUGCGUCGGAGCGACCUGCAACAGUGAACACGCUUGUGCCAUCCACAUGAUGGACAACGUGUUCGCGUGACUCGAGCGUGUAUCUCACCCCGGCCCUCACACUGCCAACUGGUGGGGGAGCCUGCGCCCCCCUCCCCCCCUCCCCCAAGGGGGCGGCACCACGCGAUGAGGGCUUUGUGACAGGGGGCCAGCUGUGUGUGUGUGUGUGCAGAGUGUGACUGAUCUUGUAUGGCAGGAGAAGGGGAGGGGAGGGGGCACACGUUAGACACAAGCGACAACAGAAGCAGCAGCAGCAGGAGGAGCUGCACGUGUGCGCGCUGUCUUCCGGCCCCUGAAUGAGGGCGGGGCGUAGGGGGAGAGAAAAAAAUGUUUUUGUUUUACACGUCUUCUUCGCUUUUUUUUUCCACGUUCAUUUUGGCGCCUGCCACGCCGCGGCGCUUGUGUUUGUCACUUGUAGGCGGUGUUCACGCACACGUUUGUGUGACCGCCGCGGCGCUCGCUUUUAUAUUUAUGGUUGCAAAUACUUGUUUUUGCUUUUUUUCGGUUCAGGUCUUUUUCGCUUCCAUGGAUGCCUUGACUCUUGUGCGUAUCUUGUGGUUUCACGGAGCAGCUGCUGAGUCCGCUCCUAGUCCGCCUGCUUGUGCCCGUCUGCCGCUCACCUCUCGUCGCUUCUUCGUUUGGUAUGAUGCGCUUGUAGGGAAGUGAGGUGCUGAUAUCGUCUAGGGAGAGGGAUGCACGGUGAUGGACAUGUGCGCCGAGCGAGGAAAAAGACUCCAUGGUGGCGCUUGUGGUGGGAAGGACACGGAAAGCAGGCAAGUCUCACUGGACGCUUUCGCGGUCACUUCCUUUUUUUCUUUACUUCCGAAAUUCCUCUUUCGCGGUGCUCGUGUUUUGGGUACUCUUCGUGUACUGGUGUGUUGCACUCUUUCUCUUUCUCCUUAGAUGUCACGCUUUCCGAGCAAAACAGAUGCCCAUCCGCGCAUACCCUCCCGCACCUCCUCCUCCGGCCGCUCUCUCUCUCACACACACACACACAGACAUACAUACUAAAAAAGAAAGAUACACACACCAACAAAGAGAGAGAGCACCACGCGGGAGCGAGUGGAUGGGGCUCCGCCGCCCCUGUCCCGCUCACUGCGCACCAGUACUCGAGAAGAAAACGAGCGAGAACACCGCCUCUUGCCUUGCUGAUACGCGCAGUAGCGGGAAGGAAUGUGGUUGGAGCGGGACGAGGCGAUCAAAACGACUUGGGGGCUCGUGUGACCAUGGAGAGGUAGCGACUGCGGUCUAUGCUCCAUGUCGCUUGACAGAACGACGAACGCAGAAAAGGGAGCAAGAGAGAAAGCAGCUCGAGAG
rnacentral:misc_RNA from 1 species